rnacentral:rRNA from 1 species
CCCAGUGACAUUACCGAGUUUACACUCCCAACCCCUGUGAACAUACCAAUUGUUGCCUCGGCGGAUCAGCCCGCUCCCGGUAAAACGGGACGGCCCGCCAGAGGACCCCUAAACUCUGUUUCUAUAUGUAACUUCUGAGUAAAACCAUAAAUAAAUCAAAACUUUCAACAACGGAUCUCUUGGUUCUGGCAUCGAUGAAGAACGCAGCAAAAUGCGAUAAGUAAUGUGAAUUGCAGAAUUCAGUGAAUCAUCGAAUCUUUGAACGCACAUUGCGCCCGCCAGUAUUCUGGCGGGCAUGCCUGUUCGAGCGUCAUUUCAACCCUCAAGCCCAGCUUGGUGUUGGGACUCGCGAGUUAAAUCGCGUUCCCCAAAUUGAUUGGCGGUCACGUCGAGCUUCCAUAGCGUAGUAGUAAAACCCUCGUUACUGGUAAUCGUCGCGGCCACGCCGUUAAACCCCAACUUCUGAAUGUUGACCUCGGAUCAGGUAGGAAUACCCGCUGAACUUAAGCAUAUCAAUAAAGCGGAAGAAA